GUUAGGAAUAUUGGACAAUGGACGCAAGUCUGAUCCAGCCAUGCCGCGUGAGUGAUGAAGGCCUUCGGGUUGUAAAGCUCUUUAGCCGAUGAUUAUAAUGACUGUAGUCGGAAAAUAAGCCACGGCUAACUUCGUGCCAGCAGCCGCGGUAAUACGAAGGGGGCGAGCGUUAUUCGGAAUCACUGGGCGUAAAGCGUGCGUAGGCGGUUUUGUAAGUUGGGAGUGAAAGCCCAGGGCUCAACCCUGGAAUUGCUCUCAAAACUACAAGACUUGAAUUCGGGAGAGGAUAGCGGAAUUGUCAGUGUAGCAGUGAAAUGCGUAGAUAUUGACAGGAACACCAGUGGCGUAAGCGGCUAUCUGGACCGACAUUGACGCUGAGGCACGAAAGCGUGGGGAUCAAACAGGAUUAGAAACCCUUGUAGUCC
rnacentral:rRNA from 1 species